rnacentral:misc_RNA from 1 species
AACUUUUGACAAUGGAUCACUUGGCUCUCGCAUCGAUGAAGAACGCAGCGAAAUGCGAUACGUAAUGUGAAUUGCAGAAUUCAGUGAAUCAUUGAAUCUUUGAACGCACCUUGCGCCCCUUGGAAUUCCGAGGGGCACACCCGUUUGAGUGUCGUGAACAUCCUUCAACCUUUCUUGGUUUCUUAACCGGGGAAGGCUUGGACUUUGGGGGUCUUUCAUUGCUGGCCUCUUUGAAGCCAGCUCCUCCUAAAUGGAUUAGUGUGGUCUGCUUUGCCGAUCCUUGACGUGAUAAGAUGUUUCUACGUCUUGGGUUUCGCACUGUCGCUUUAGACCCCGCUUCUAACCGUCUUGCAUUCAAGACAGAGUUUUAAACCUUGACCUCAAAUCGGGUGAGACUACCCGCUGAACUUAAGCAUAUCAAUAAGCGGAGGCU